rnacentral:lncRNA from 1 species
GCAAGGGGCACCACCAAGCAAACGGCACUAUGAAGACUUCCAAACAGUUGUGUCUCCUGCGCCUGACUUCACCCCUCCUACAAUCCAGAGACGGUUCUGACAAUUCUUUUGGAACUUCUUAGUGAAUGUUGAUUGAGAGGGUGCUGGCAAGAAGAUGAGCAGUAAUCAACUCCACAUCAGAACAGGCGCCGUGUCACACACAGAUCCUGCUAGCCAUGCAGGCAUCCAGCAGAGAAGAUUACAUUUAUCCACAUGUCAAUGUUCCGGUCUGUGUGUUCGUCAGAGGGCUCACAUCAGUAGACAUUUAAACAGCCCAUGAAAUGUACUAUGAAAUGAUUGAUUAUGAUCCAUAGAAUGUGUGAGCAUUUUUGGGGGAUACUCCUAUGAAUUUUAAGAGUGUUUUGGUACUCAACUCAAUACACCAUGAAGUAAAAGAGCAUUUCAGAUGACGCUGAC